rnacentral:rRNA from 1 species
UACGUAGGGUGCGAGCGUUAAUCGGAAUUACUGGGCGUAAAGCGUGCGCAGGCGGUUUUGUAAGUCAGAUGUGAAAUCCCCCGGGCUUAACCUGGGAACUGCGUUUGAAACUACAAGGCUAGAGUGUGGCAGAGGGGGGUGGAAUUCCACGUGUAGCAGUGAAAUGCGUAGAGAUGUGGAGGAACACCGAUGGCGAAGGCAGCCCCCUGGGUUAACACUGACGCUCAGGCACGAAAGCGUGGGGAGCAAACAGG